rnacentral:lncRNA from 1 species
UUUUUCUUUUUCUUUUUUUUGGGCUGCACCUGCGGCACAUGGAGGUUUCCAGGCCAGGGGCCAAACUGGAGCCGCAGCUGCAGGCCUACACCACAGUCAUAGCAACUUGGGAUCCAAGCCGUGCCUGUAACCCACACCACAGCCCACGGCAAUGCCAGACCCUCAACCCACCAAGCAAGGACAGGGAUCAAACCCAUGCCCCCAUGGCUCCCAGCCAGGUUCAUCUCUGCUGCACCACGACAACCCCCAAGAAAUGCAAAUUUGAAGUACACUGAGAGAUCAUUUUCACUUACCAGACCUGCAAAAUUAAAAGACUGAGAAUAUAUUCACCUGGUGAGGCUGUGGGAAAUAAGAAUUUCCAUAUAUCAUGGGUUUGAAUGCAAAUGGAUACAAGACUUUGACUGAGUAAUCCCAUUUCUAGAAAUUUACCUUUUACGUACUCUUGCAAUAUGAAAACACAUAUGUGUAAGAUUAUGCUUUUCAGCAUUAUUUGUAUUUGAAAAAUAUUGGAAAGUACCUAAUAGCCCAAACAUAGGAGAUAACUUAACUGUGGUCCUUACACACAAUGGAGUGCUACGUAGCUAUUAAAAAAAAAAAAAAGAAUGAAGACUCUCCUUAAAGUGACAAGGAGUACUCUCCAGGGUAUAUUGUUAAGCGACACAAGAAAAAUGCAAAAGAACAAAAAUAGAAUGCUAACUUUUGUGGAAAAAAAAGAAGAAAUAAGAAAGUAUACAUGUACUUGCUUAGUUUGGCAAAAACAAAGCAUGAGUUAACCAGGGAGAAUAGAAUGUAAAUGAUAAAGCAAAUGGGAAAAAUGUUUUUAAAAUGAUAAAGUGUUAAAAUUGGUAAGUCUGGAUAAUCAUUACAUAGGUAAAUCUGGACAAAUAAUAUGCAUGAGUUUUGUGAGUAUUUCUCCAAAUUUCCUGUAAGUUGGAAAUUUAUUUAAAAAAGAAGAAGAAUGUUAAUAAUAGCAUAAUAAUAAUCAUAAUGCACUAUGACCAGUAAAAUUAUUCCUUUGAAUGCAGAAAUGGUGGAAAUUAGAACAUCAACUUUUAAAAAUCAUAAAACCAACAAAUUAAAGAUAAAAAGAAAUUAACAUAUUAGUUGCUAUGAAAUGGUCAUUUAAUAAAAUAAGGUUAUGCAACCAUUAAAUAGAAAUGCUAAAGAGAAUAAUAAUGCUAAAAUGAUAAAAAUUCAAUGAGGAAUAUUUAUUGAAACUUAAUAGAUUUAUGCUAAAAAAGUGAAACACAUUUAAACUAUUUCAGACAAAUCAGUUUAUAGUCAGGGAUUUCUGCUGACAGAAAAUGCAAUAAGACAGGAAAAUACAAUAAUCUGUCUAAAUAUUGGGGGAGAGGAGAUAAAACUAGUUAUUUUUCCCCAAAUACUGUGAGUACUGUAGGUUUUAUUUGCCUGUAAGUGAGAAAGAUUUCACUUUCAAUAGAACAAACUGAGUGAUGAUUUUAUAGUUAACUAAAGUAGAUCAGGCCCCUCUCAGUAAUUUCUGGAUAAUAAAGAAAAGAUACAGAGAAAACAUUUGCAAAGUAGACAUACCAGGCUAUUGAUUGUAAUAACAACAGGGCUGAUAUAAGAAAUGAUAAACAUUUCUUAUUACAUAAAAAUUAAAAAUUUAUAUGGAAGAAGAUACCAUAAGCAAGGGCAAAAGAUAACCAAUACCUUUUGAAAAAUUAUUUAUAAGGCAAAUGGCACAUAAAGGGUCUAUAAUUUCAAAGAGUUCUUACAAAUUGAAGAGUUAAAAAGACAAAUGACCCAGCAGAAAAAAAGGGUAAUAGUCAUGAAGGGGUAAAUAAUAGAAAACUGAUUACAAAUAGUCAAUAAAUAUGUGAAAAUAUGGAAUAAGAACAAGAUUUAGAGCAUGAGAUAUUACUUUGUUCUAAGACUGGAAAAAAAUAUAGUAAGGUCAAUAAUUAUCACUGGUGGAGAUAUGGCAAAAUAUACUAAAAUGUAAUAUUUUUAUUUUUUUUAAUAAUUAAAUGUAUUACUGGUAGAAAUAUGAACUGAUAAAGUAAUCUGGCAAAAGCUAUUAUAAUUUAAAAUACACAUGAACUUUGAUCUCACAAUCCCACUUCUAGGAAACUAUAUCUUAGAAAUAAAUGCACUAAUAUGUUAGGAUGUGGGUACCAAUAUAAAUAUUAUAGUAUUUUCUUAGUGGCACUAACUCAUUAGUAGGGAAAGAGCUGAAUAAUUUGCGGCACAUUCAUAAUAAGGAAUAGUGUGCAGAAUAUAAAAAAUAAAUAAAUACAAUUGCCUCCCAGAAGAAGGCAUGCAUAUACAUUUCCCAAUUCCUCCUGCUAAAUGCCAUUAUAAACUCUGGACAUUAUACACAAAACAAAUCUAAGGGGCAUCUGAAAGGUAGAGGGAAGAAUGCAAACCAGCUAGAGGCCUCAGGACCUCAAUGUGACCAAAAAAAAAAAAAAAAAAAAAAAAGAAGAAAGAAAGAAAGAAAGAAAGAAAGAGAAAAUGAUCUCCAACAAAAGCCUGCUCUCAGAGUUCCUGCUGUGGUUCAGAGGUAAUGAACCCGACUGGUAUCCAUGAAGACACAGGUUCGAUCACUGGCAUCACUCAGUGGGUUAAAGCAUCUGGCGUUGCCAAGAGCUGUGGUAUAGGUCUUAGAUGUGGCUUGGAUCUGGCACUUCUGUGGCUGCAGCCAGCAGCUGUAGCUCCAAUUCGACCCCUAGCCUGGCAACUUCCAUAUGCUGCAG